UGGGGAAUAUUGGACAAUGGGCGCAAGCCUGAUCCAGCAAUGCCGCGUGUGUGAAGAAGGCCUUCGGGUUGUAAAGCACUUUUAUCAGGAGCGAAACGCUGUCGGCUAAUACCCGGCGGAACUGACGGUACCUGAGGAAUAAGCACCGGCUAACUUCGUGCCAGCAGCCGCGGUAAUACGAAGGGUGCAAGCGUUAAUCGGAAUUACUGGGCGUAAAGCGUGCGUAGGCGGUUUCUUAAGUCUGCUGUGAAAUCCCCGGGCUCAACCUGGGAAUGGCAGUGGAUACUGGGAGGCUAGAGUGUGUCAGAGGGUGGUGGAAUUCCCGGUGUAGCGGUGAAAUGCGUAGAGAUCGGGAGGAACAUCAGUGGCGAAGGCGGCCACCUGGGACAACACUGACGCUGAGGCACGAAAGCGUGGGGGAGCAAACAGGAUUAGAUACCCUGGUAGUCCACGCCCUAAACGAUGCGAACUGGAUGUUGGUCUCAACUCGGAGAUCAGUGUCGAAGCUAACGCGUUAAGUUCGCCGCCUGGGGAGUACGGUCGCAAGACUGAAACUCAAAGGAAUUGAC
rnacentral:rRNA from 1 species